UACGGGGGGGGCAAGCGUUGUUCGGAAUUACUGGGCGUAAAGGGCUCGUAGGCGGCCAACUAAGUCAGACGUAAAAUCCCUCGGCUUAACCGGGGAACUGCGUCUGAUACUGGAUGGCUUGAGUGUGGGAGAGGGAUGCGGAAUUCCAGGUGUAGCGGUGAAAUGCGUAGAUAUCUGGAGGAACACCGGUGGCGAAGGCGGUAUCCUGGACCAUGACUGACGCUGAUGAGCGAAAGCCAGGGGAGCAAACGGG
rnacentral:rRNA from 1 species